GAUGAACGCUGGCGGCGUGCCUAAUACAUGCAAGUCGAGCGAACAGACGAGGAGCUUGCUCCUCUGACGUUAGCGGCGGACGGGUGAGUAACACGUGGAUAACCUACCUAUAAGACUGGGAUAACUUCGGGAAACCGGAGCUAAUACCGGACAACAUGUUGAACCGCAUGGUUCAACAGUGAAAGACGGUCUUGCUGUCACUUAUAGAUGGAUCCGCGCCGCAUUAGCUAGUUGGUAAGGUAACGGCUUACCAAGGCAACGAUGCGUAGCCGACCUGAGAGGGUGAUCGGCCACACUGGAACUGAGACACGGUCCAGACUCCUACGGGAGGCAGCAGUAGGGAAUCUUCCGCAAUGGGCGAAAGCCUGACGGAGCAACGCCGCGUGAGUGAAGAAGGUCUUCGGAUCGUAAAACUCUGUUAUUAGGGAAGAACAAAUGUGUAAGUAACUAUGCACGUCUUGACGGUACCUAAUCAGAAAGCCACGGCUAACUACGUG
rnacentral:rRNA from 1 species